GACAUUAUCAAAAAGUCCAGCCCCUCCCUACACCUCCCUGCCUCUCUUUAUGGGGACCAAGAUUUGGGCUGUAAAUACCACUGCCUGUCUUCCCUGAAGACUUCAAUGGGCCCUGAACAUGUUGUUAGCGCGAAGGACACACAAGGCUUCCCUUUGACUGCCCUGGCCAGCAUCCCCGCCACACCCAGGCCCACAGGAAGGUCACCCGCCCACCCUCUGCCGUGCCUUCCCUCCGCCGCCAAGCCCCAGGACAACUGCUCUCAGCAAGCCAGGAAGAGGCCCCCACCAGACCAAACCACACAGCCACCCUGGACCCCAGCUCCCAGAAGCACGGGGAAACAAACAUCCGUUGCCUAAACCCCAGGCUGACAUCUUGUCACAGUAGCCAGAGUGGACUCAGGUCCACAGCGGAGUCGAGGAAGGCUUCCUGCAGAGCCAAUGUGGCCAUCCUUGGGGGAGCCAGGCCGGGCCAACCCCUCUCCCACCACACAGCAGCCUGGCUGCAAAUGCGGGAAGCUUCUUGGGGACUUCAUGGCUCCACUGCAGGCACAGAGGCCAGCCUGGAUGAGAGACCAGGCACCCUCCGCAGUCCAGCCAGGGCCCUGGAGCAGGGCAAAGAGGCAGAAAGAUCACGGGUACUGAGCCCCAGAUUUCCGCUGCCCCUGCUGCCCUGGCAGAGGAAACAGAGAACAAGGCCCCCACCCACCCAGCUCCCACCCUGGGGGGCAGCUUGGAAGUGGGGAUCUCGGCCAGGCUCUGAAUGACAGAAACCAUCAGGACAUGGAAAAACAAGACCUAUAAAGAAAUACACAUUUUAUACAUCAGUUUAAUUAAAGUACAUUAAAAUGAGUUUGCUUAAAUAAAAAAAAAAAUUA